rnacentral:rRNA from 1 species
UAAAACGAGGGGGGCGAGCGUUAUUCAUCAUGACUGGGCGUAAAGAGUUCGUAGACUGCAAAGUAAGUUUUGUGUUAAAGAUUGAAGUUUAACUUUUGUUGAGCACAAAAGAACUGCUUUGCUUGAGUUUUAUACAGGAGAAUAUAAUUUUAUUUGGAAGGGUAAAAUCUAAUUAUAAAUAAAGGAAUGUCUGUGGCGAAGGCGAUUCUCUAGUAAAAACUGACGUUGAGGAACGAAAGUGUAGGUAGCAAACAGGAUUAGAGACCCUGGUAGUCUACACUGUAAAUCAUGAAUGCUGUAAUUUAAUGAUAAUUUUUUUAGAAUUAUUUUAGAUUUUUAAGCUAACGCUAUAAGCAUUCCGCCUGAGGAGUACGAUCGCAAGGUUGGAACUCAAAGAAAUUGAC